rnacentral:rRNA from 1 species
GAUUAACGCUGGCGGCGUGCCUAAUGCAUGCAAGUCGAACGUGGCCCCUUCGGGGGUUAACGUGGCGGACGGGUGAGGAACACGUGGGGAACCUGCCCAUUGGUGGGGGGUAGCCCUCGGAAACGAGGGGUAAUUCCGCAUACGCUGGCUGAAGGGAAGCUUUGGUCAGGAAAGGGUCUUCGGACUCGCCGAUGGAGGGGCCUGCGUCCGAUUAGCUAGUUGGUGGGGUAACGGCCUACCAAGGCGAUGAUCGGUAGCUGGUCUGAGAGGACGGCCAGCCACAGGGGAACUGAGACACGGUCCCCACUCCUACGGGAGGCAGCAGCAAGGAGUUUUCCGCAAUGGGCGAAAGCCUGACGGAGCAACGCCGCGUGGGGGAUGACGCCCUUCGGGGUGUAAACCCCUUUUCUUGGGGACGAAGCAGUGACGGUACCCGAGGAAGAAGGCCCGGCUAACUACGUGCCAGCCGCCGCGGUAAAAC